UACAGAGGGUGCGAGCGUUGUCCGGAAUCACUGGGCGUAAAGGGCGCGUAGGUGGCGACCCAAGUCGAUGGUGAAAGCUCGUCGCUCAACCCUGCGUCGGCCAGGGAUACUGCCGCGGCUCGAGCACUGUAGAGGCAGGCGGAAUUCCGGGUGUAGCGGUGGAAUGCGUAGAGAUCCGGAGGAACACCAGAGGCGAAGGCGGCACCCUGGCCUAAUACUGACACUGAGACGCGAAAGCAUGGGGAGCGAACGGG
rnacentral:rRNA from 1 species